rnacentral:rRNA from 1 species
GUGCCAGCCGCCGCGGUAAUACGGAGGGAGCUAGCGUUGUUCGGAAUUACUGGGCGUAAAGCGUACGUAGGCGGUUACUCAAGUCAGAGGUGAAAGCCCGGGGCUCAACCCCGGAACUGCCUUUGAAACUAGGUAGCUAGAGUCUUGGAGAGGUUAGUGGAAUUCCGAGUGUAGAGGUGAAAUUCGUAGAUAUUCGGAAGAACACCAGUGGCGAAGGCGACUAACUGGACAAGUACUGACGCUGAGGUACGAAAGCGUGGGGAGCAAACAGGAUUAGAUACCCCGGUAGUCC